CUUUGUCCCUUUUAACGUUCCUUAUACUUCAGUGCUUGGUCCUCGCCGAAGUUUCCCAUCACACGGGCGGCUGCGACGCAUUUUGCAAGAACUGUAGAGGAAAGGGAGAGAUGGACGGGAAUUAAGCACCGAAAAAUGGCAACGAAUAACAAACCCUAAGCCUAUUUUUUUCCUGGAAUCAAUCGAAUGGCUUCAUCAAGAGUGAUUGCGUCCUCAUCAUCCGGUAAAUCUAAUCUCUCGCGUCAGUCUUCUCUCUACCCGAAGACGGCAGUGGAGCCUGAGAAUUCCACAAGCGAUGGCGAUCCGCCAAAGAGCUUCGGCUCCAUGAUUAUGGAGGAUCUUAUUCGAAAUAUCUAUGCCGAGAAUGUGCCGGCAGUCGGGUCUUCACCUUAUGGCGGCGGCGGGGACACGCCGGCCGCUCCGCUUAAGAGUAUGGGGGAUAUGACAUCGGAUGACGUGUGGAGAGAGAUCACUACUGGACGGCAAGCGGAAGGUGCCGACGAAGUCGAUGCCUUAGUAAGCGAAACAGAGAGCAAGGAUGUUGGGGAGAUGACGCUGGAGGAUUUCCUUGCGAGGGCAGGUGCUGUGAUGGAAGAGGAGGUUAGGGUUCCGUCGGGAGUUCGCUCGGUGGGUCUGGCUGCGACCGACCAAUUUGGGCAGCAAUCACUGACAAUAGAGAAUCCGGUUCGGGGGUUCGGGAACGGGGCGGAGGUUGUUCCUAUAGGGGGAGGGAGGGGUAGGAGACGGCCUGUGCUUGAUCUGGAGGAUAGGGUUACAUUGCAAAGGCAGAAGCGGAUGAUUAAAAACAGGGAGUCUGCAGCCAGGUCCAGAGAGAGGAAGCAGGCUUAUACAGCAGAGCUAGAGUCAUUAGUCCAUCAGCUGGAGCAAGAGAAUGUUCAGCUGCAUAUUGAGCUGGAGCAAGGUAAUAAGGAGAGAUUUAAGCAGUUGACCAAGUGAUUGGCUAAUUCCGUGGACUUUAACAUUUAAGCCGAGUUUAAUUGAGGAGUUUACUUAGCUAGCCCUCUUUGACAAGUUGGUUACUUUGGUUGGUUCUACUAGUGUUUCACUUGAAUGGUUGGUGCAUUGUUGACUUCAGUGGUCUAGUUCCAUGGGCUUGUACAUCCUCUCUCUGAGCAAUUCAAGUAUAAUCAAAGCUUAUGGAGAUGGAGGUCCCAAUCACCCUGAAGAACAAGCCCCCAAGUCAGAUUAGGAGGACUAGCUCAGGCUGAUUAGAUAACUUUCUUAGGGAAACAAAAAAUAUAAAUAUUUGCAGAUUUGAAUUUCGGACUCUCAACGGGUGAGAGGAGAAAUCGAUUCGCAGGCAAUACAUAUCCAGCUGAGGAUUUCAUUGUCAUGUUUUAUCCCAACUUUACAAAAUUUCAUUGUAAACAGAUAAUGAAAAAAGAAAAUGUGGUGAAUGCAUAGUGUAAUUAAACUAGAGUGCAUAAUAUAGUAGGAACUAUCUAUAAAUACAUGCACAUGAAAUUUAUUAUUAUUAUUAUUUUUCAGAACAUGAUCA